rnacentral:rRNA from 1 species
UACGUAGGGGGCGAGCGUUGUCCGGAUUCAUUGGGCGUAAAGAGCUCGUAGGCGGUUUGUCGCGUCGACUGUGAAAACCUACAGCUUAACUGUGGGCUUGCAGUCGAUACGGGCAGACUUGAGUUCGGUAGGGGAGACUGGAAUUCCUGGUGUAGCGGUGAAAUGCGCAGAUAUCAGGAGGAACACCGGUGGCGAAGGCGGGUCUCUGGGCCGAUACUGACGCUGAGGAGCGAAAGCGUGGGGAGCGAACAGG